UUGCCUACGGGGGGCAGCAGUGGGGAAUAUUGCACAAUGGGGGAAACCCUGAUGCAGCAACGCCGCGUGAGUGAAGAAGUCAUUCGUGAUGUAAAGCUCUAUCAGCAGGGAAGAAAAUGACGGUACCUGAGUAAGAAGCCCCGGCUAACUACGUGCCAGCAGCCGCGGUAAUACGUAGGGGGCAAGCGUUAUCCGGAUUUACUGGGUGUAAAGGGAGCGCAGGCGGCCUGCCAAGUCUGGUGUGAAAACCCGGGGCCCAACCCCGGGCCUGCAUUGGAAACUGGCGGGCUGGAGUGUCGGAGGGG
rnacentral:rRNA from 1 species